AUUGAACGCUGGCGGCAGGCCUAACACAUGCAAGUCGAGCGGCAGCGACUUAACUGAACCUUCGGGGAACGUUAAGGGCGGCGAGCGGCGGACGGGUGAGUAAUGCCUGGGAAUAUGCCCUGAUGUGGGGGAUAACUAUUGGAAACGAUAGCUAAUACCGCAUAAUCUCUUCGGAGCAAAGAGGGGGACCUUCGGGCCUCUCGCGUCAGGAUUAGCCCAGGUGGGAUUAGCUUGUUGGUGAGGUAAUGGCUCACCAAGGCAACGAUCCCUAGCUGGUCUGAGAGGAUGAUCAGCCACACUGGAACUGAGACACGGUCCAGACUCCUACGGGAGGCAGCAGUGGGGAAUAUUGCACAAUGGGGGAAACCCUGAUGCAGCCAUGCCGCGUGUGUGAAGAAGGCCUUCGGGUUGUAAAGCACUUUCAGUAGGGAGGAAGGUAGUGCAGUUAACACCUGCAUUAUUUGACGUUACCUACAGAAGAAGCACCGGCUAACUCCGUGCCAGCAGCCGCGGUAAUACGGAGGGUGCGAGCGUUAAUCGGAAUUACUGGGCGUAAAGCGCAUGCAGGCGGCCUGUUAAGUCAGAUGUGAAAGCCCGGGGCUUAACCUCGGAAUUGCAUUUGAAACUGGCAGGCUAGAGUCUUGUAGAGGGGGGUAGAAUUUCAGGUGUAGCGGUGAAAUGCGUAGAGAUCUGAAGGAAUAUCAGUGGCGAAAGGCGGCCCCCUGGACAAAGACUGACGCUCAGAUGCGAAAGCGUGGGGAGCAAACAGG
rnacentral:rRNA from 1 species